GAAAAAGACUGCUAGUUGGUGUCCUUUUCUUCCCUUACCUCUUCCUGUAUGUCCCUCUGGAAGCUGCACACUCUAUCGAAGAUGACCUUCCCUGAGUAGAGAAGGACCAAUCUUCAGUCCAGGGUAUAUGAGAAGUUACUAGUCCCCUAUUAGAACCUCCAAACAAGCUAUCAAGGAUUAACGGUUUUACAACUAUUUCUUUACUAUUCUCUGGAUUUCCUCAGUGUCUGUUGUAAUGUCC
rnacentral:snRNA from 1 species